rnacentral:tRNA from 1 species
UGCAUCGGCCGGAAUCGAACCCGGGCCGCCCGCGUGGUAGGCGAGCAUUCUACCACUGAACCACCGAUUGU